GGUACCGUGGCCGAGAGGCUUAGGCACAGGUCUGCAAAACCUGGGACAGCGGUUCGAAUCCGCUCGGUACCU
rnacentral:tRNA from 1 species